UACAGAGGUCUCAAGCGUUGUUCGGAUUCAUUGGGCGUAAAGGGUGCGUAGGCGGCGCGGUAAGUCGGGUGUGAAAUCUCGGAGCUUAACUCCGAAACUGCAUUCGAUACUGCCGUGCUUGAGGACUGGAGAGGAGACUGGAAUUUACGGUGUAGCGGUGAAAUGCGUAGAUAUCUGGAGGAACACCGGUGGCGAAGGCGGCAUCCUGGACCAAUUCUGACACUGAGGCACGAAAGCGUGGGGAGCAAACAGG
rnacentral:rRNA from 1 species